rnacentral:rRNA from 1 species
GAUGAACGCUGGCGGCGUGCCUAAUACAUGCAAGUCGAACGAGGUGCUUUUGUAGCAAUACGAGAGUAUCCUAGUGGCGAACGGGUGAGUAACGCGUUGGUGACCUACCCAAAGUGUGGGAUAACAGUCCGAAAGGAUUGCUAAUACCGCAUGUGGUCUUCGGGUUUAGAAACUGAUGACUAAAGGAGCAAUUCGCUUUGGGAGGGACCUGCGUCCCAUCAGCUAGUUGGUGAGGUAAUGGCUCACCAAGGCUACGACGGGUAGGGGACCUGAGAGGGUGACCCCCCACAAUGGAACUGAAACACGGUCCAUACACCUACGGGUGGCAGCAGUAGGGAAUAUUGCACAAUGGGCGAAAGCCUGAUGCAGCAACGCCGCGUGUGCGAUGAAGGCCUUGGGUCGUAAAGCACUUUUCUGGGAGAUGAGCAAGGACAGUAUACUCAGGAAUAAGUCUCGGCUAACUACGUGCCAGCAGCCGCGGU